GACGAACGCUGGCGGCGUGCUUAACACAUGCAAGUCGAACGGAAAGGCCCUGCUUUUGUGGGGUGCUCGAGUGGCGAACGGGUGAGUAACACGUGAGUAACCUGCCCUUGACUUUGGGAUAACUUCAGGAAACUGGGGCUAAUACCGGAUAGGAGCUCCUGCUGCAUGGUGGGGGUUGGAAAGUUUCGGCGGUUGGGGAUGGACUCGCGGCUUAUCAGCUUGUUGGUGGGGUAGUGGCUUACCAAGGCUUUGACGGGUAGCCGGCCUGAGAGGGUGACCGGCCACAUGGGGACUGGGAUACGGCCCAGACUCCUACGGGAGGCAGAAGUGGGGAAUAUUGCACAAUGGGCGGAAGCCUGAUGCAGCAACGCCGCGUGCGGGAUGACGGCCUUCGGGUUGUAAACCGCUUUCGCCUGUGACGAAGCGUGAGUGACGGUAAUGGGUAAAGAAGCACCGGCUAACUACGUG
rnacentral:rRNA from 1 species